rnacentral:rRNA from 1 species
CACCGCAAGAAUGAGCGCAGGGUGGAUGCCUUGGCGUUGGCGGCCGAAGAAGGACGCGGCCACGCGGCGAAACGCUCCGGGGAGGCGCUGGCGGCCUGGGAUCCGGAGGAGUCCGAAUGGGGCAACCCGCCCGACGCACGGUCGGGCACCUGCGUGUGAGCGCAGGGGGGCACCGGGGGAAGUGAAACAUCUGAGUACCCCGAGGAGAAGAGAGGAUUCCCUCAGUAGCGGCGAGCGAAGGGGGAGGAGCCCAAACCGUUCUGGUGGCACAGCCUGCCGGCGAUGCCAGGGCGGGGUUGAACGAGCGAUGGGGAGCCUGCGGCAGCGGGCUCACCGGGACACCGAUGUUCCAGCCGAAGGUCGCUGGAACGGACCGCCACAGGGGGUGAGAGCCCCGUAGGCGACGGGGCAUCGGGCCGGGGCCAUCGGAUCGUGAGUAAUUCCGGACACGCGGAAUCCGGGGUGAAGCGGGGGCGACCACGUCCCAAGGCUAAACACCGCCAACGACCGAUAGUGAACCAGUACCGUGAGGGAACGGUGAAAAGCACCCCGGCGAGGGGAGUGAAACAGAUCCUGAAACCGUGCGCUUCCGGCCGGUCGGAGCCUGGGGGAGACCCUGGGUGACGGCGUGCCUUUUGUAGAAUGAGCCGACGAGUGCGUGGGGGCGGCGAGGCUAAGCCAGGGACAGGCGGAGCCGGAGCGAAAGCGAGUCCGCAAGGGCGCUGAGUCGUUGUCAUGCGACCCGAAACCGGGUGAUCUAGCCGUGGCCAGGCUGAAGCGGGCGGAACACGCUCGUGGAGGGCCGAACCGGGAUCUGUUGCAAAAGGUCCGGAUGAGCUGCGGCUAGCGGUGAAAUGCCAAGCGAACCCGGAGAUAGCUGGUUCUCCCCGAAAUGCAUUUGGGUGCAGCCCCGGCGCGGGGCGCCGCGGAGGUAGCGCGCUGGAUCGGCGAGGGGGCUUGCCGCUUACCGACCCGAACCAAACGCCGAAUGCCGCGGAGCGGGUGCCGGGCGUGAGACGGCGGGUGCGAAGAUUCGUCGUCGAGAGGGAAACAGCCCAGACCGCCGGCUAAGGUCCCCAACUGCGGGCUAAGUGGGCAAGGAGGUCGCGGCGCAGAGACAACCAGGAGGUUGGCUUAGAAGCAGCCAUCCUUGAAAGAGUGCGUAAUAGCUCACUGGUCGAAUGUGCCGCGGCGCCGACAAUCCACCGGGGCUCAAGCCCGCGACCGAAGCCGCGGAUGGCCGCAAGGUCAUGGUAGGGGAGCGUCCCCGUCAGCAGUGAAGCCGGCCUGGGAGGGCGGGUGGAGCGGCGGGGAGUGCGAAUGUCGGCAUGAGUAGCGCGAGGGGGGCGCGAAUCCCCCCCACCGAAUGCCCGAGGGUUCCGCAGCCAUGCUGAUCAGCUGCGGGUGAGGCGGGCCUAAGCCGAGGGCUGGGGCCGUAGGCGAUGGACAACGGGUCAAGAUUCCCGUUCCGCGCGGCGCCGCUGCCAGGGGAACCUGGUGAGAGCGAUGGGGGGACGCGGGGGGCUAGGUGCUGGGGUGAUGAGCCCUCCAACCCGGUAGGGAGUUCCGGCAGGCAAAUCCGCCGGAGCGUGAAACCUGAGAGGGGAGUGUAAGGGGAGGACGCGAGUCCGAACCGUAGGCAUUGAGGCCGGACCGCCGAGAAAAGCCUCUAGCGAGGGGCCGCGCGCCCGUACCGCAAACCGACACAGGUGGGCUGGUCGAGGAGACCCAGGUGGACGAGAGACCCUCCGUCAAGGAACUCGGCAACUUAGCCCCGUAACUUCGGGAGAAGGGGCGCCCCGGUAGCGUGAACGCCGGUUCCGGCGGGAGCGUGAGGGGGCCGCAGUGACCAGGCCCAGGCGUCUGUUUACCAAAAACACCGGUCCCUGCCAACGCGGUGAGCGUGGACGUAUAGGGGCUGAGACCUGCCCAGUGCCGGAAGGUUAAGGGGAGGGGUGCGAGCUCCGAACCGAAGCCCCGGUAAACGGCGGCUGUAACUAUAACAGUCCUAAGGUAGCGAAAUUCCUUGUCGGGUAAGUUCCGACCCGCACGAAAGGUAGAACGAUCUGGGCGCUGUCUCGACGGGGGACUCGGCGAAAUUGAAGUGCCGGUGAAGAUGCCGGCGACCCGCGGCAGGACAAAAAGACCCCGUGGAGCUUUACUCCAGCUUGCCGUUGGGCGAGGGUGCGGCUUGUGUAGGAUAGGUGGGAGCCGGAGAACCCGGGGCGCCAGCCCUGGGGGAGGCGACGUUGAAAUACCACCCUGGCGGCGCCGUCGUCCUCACGUCUGACAGUGAGCCUGCAGACGGACCGCGGCUGGCGGGGAGUUUGACUGGGGCGGUCGCCUCCCAAACAGUAACGGAGGCGCCCAAUGGUUCCCUCAGGCCGGAUGGCAAUCGGCCGGAGCGCGCAAGGGCAGCAAGGGAGCUUGACUGCGAGGCGGACAGGCCGAGCAGGGGCGAAAGCCGGGCCUAGUGAUCCCACGGCGCCGAGUGGAAGGGCCGUGGCUUAACGGAUAAAAGCUACCCCGGGGAUAACAGGCUGAUCCUGCCCAAGAGUCCAUAUCGACGGCAGGGUUUGGCACCUCGAUGUCGGCUCGUCGCAUCCUGGGGCCGGAGAAGGUCCCAAGGGUUGGGCUGU